rnacentral:rRNA from 1 species
AUUGAACGCUGGCGGCAUGCCUUACACAUGCAAGUCGAACGGCAGCGGGGACUUCGGUCCGCCGGCGAGUGGCGAACGGGUGAGUAAUGUAUCGGAACGUACCUUUCAGUGGGGGAUAACGUAGCGAAAGUUACGCUAAUACCGCAUAUUCUGUGAGCAGGAAAGCAGGGGAUCGCAAGACCUUGCGCUGAUUGAGCGGCCGAUAUCAGAUUAGCUAGUUGGUGAGGUAAAGGCUCACCAAGGCGACGAUCUGUAGCGGGUCUGAGAGGAUGAUCCGCCACACUGGAACUGAGACACGGUCCAGACUCCUACGGGAGGCAGCAGUGGGGAAUUUUGGACAAUGGGGGCAACCCUGAUCCAGCCAUGCCGCGUGAGUGAAGAAGGCCUUCGGGUUGUAAAGCUCUUUCGGCCGGGAAGAAAUCGCAUGGGUUAAUACCCUGUGCGGAUGACGGUACCGGCAUAAGAAGCACCGGCUAACUACGUGCCAGCCGCCGCAGUAAAAC